rnacentral:rRNA from 1 species
CUUUACUGCAACUUGGCGUUGGAACUUGGCUGUAUUUGUGUAGGAUAGGUGGGAGACUUUGAAGCAGGGCCGCCAGGUCUUGCGGAGUCGUCGUUGAAAUACCACCCUGGUGCUGACGAGUUUCUAACCGUGUCCGUAAGCCGGACAUGAGACAGCGUCUGGUGGGCAGUUUGACUGGGCGGUCGCCUCCUAAAAGGUAACGGAGGCAUUCAAAGGUCCCCUCAGCGUGGUCGGUAAUCACGCGCAGAGUGCAAACGCAUAAGGGGGCUUAACUGCGAGACCGACAGGUCGAGCAGGUACGAAAGUAGGAGUGAGUGAUCCCGCGGUUUAGCGUGGAAUUGCCGUUGAUCAAUGGAUAAAAGGUA